rnacentral:lncRNA from 10 species
CACACUUUGAGACUCUUGUCUACCUAUUUAAAUCUUCUUUGUGCAAACUAGUUUGAAUUUUUCUUCCCCUAGGGCUUUCACUGCUUCCAGAGGUAGAGUGAAUUCUCAACAAUAUCAACAAAAAGAAUGCUGCAUGUUCAGAUAGUGGAGAAAAUGGAUACAACAAUAUUAACGGAAGCACUGUUUGUCGUUCCCCAACUGGAAAAAUCCUCUUUUAGGCCACCUCACGUGAUGCAGACGAGUAUAUGCCACCCACUGCAGCCACUGUCUGUCUUCUUCUGCACUGAGAAGAAAGGAGUAUGUAUGUGUGAGGGGGUGUUUCCUCUAAUGUGAAGCCUUUCCUGACCACCUGAGGCACAGCUAAUCACUUCUCCUUCAAGCCACCGUGAUAUAACAGCCACAGGUGGCAUUCUGUGGCUGUGCCUGUACUGUGUCAGGUGAGUGGGGCAUAAUGCUUUAGCACACAGAGGCUGGAAUCAGGCUGCUUAGGGUCAAACCCUGGUGUCAUGACUUGUCUCCAGGAUGGGCUUCAUCAAUUCGUUAUCUCACUUUACUUGUAAGCUACUCUCCCACUGAGACACAGAAACACCUUGAAUCUGACCUGUAACUAUUUUGACCAACAGACUGUAGCGGAAAUAAUGUCCAUGCUUUUAGAGUCUAGGUCACAAGAAAGUUUGCAGUUUCUGUCUGGUUUUGUG